CCCGUAGUCUCCCCUUCUACCGUUUCUCAGUUAUUCACAAGCUGCUUCUAAUGUUUCCACAAGGAAAACUCCUUGUCUUUUUCAAGGCCCAACUUCAAACCUCCAGCUGGUGUUCAAGUUUACUACUUAAGUAUCAAGUUAAAAAUAAUGGCUGAUGCCCAGAAUGUUAAAGAUGGACAACACUGCAACUACUGUGCCCACCCCCAUUGUAGAGCUGAGGAAACUGAGGCCC